rnacentral:rRNA from 1 species
UACAGAGGUCUCAAGCGUUGUUCGGAUUCAUUGGGCGUAAAGGGUGCGUAGGCGGCGCGGUAAGUCGGGUGUGAAAUCUCGGAGCUUAACUCCGAAACUGUAUUCGAUACUGCCGUGCUUGAGGACUGGAGAGGAGACUGGAAUUUACGGUGUAGCGGUGAAAUGCGUAGAUAUCGUAAGGAAGACCAGUGGCGAAGGCGGGUCUCUGGACAGUUCCUGACGCUGAGGCACGAAGGCCAGGGGAGCAAACGGG